AUGUCUUUUUUCUCCUCGCAUACCGGCCAACCAAGAUGGGGACGAUCUCGUACACCCAUAUCUGCAGUAAUUACAAUUAUUAUGUAUUGAAUUCAAUAAAAGUUUAGAUAAUUCAUUACGGUAAACAUUUACCUGCAAAGCCAGUAGCAGGCCGUAUGCAUUGUACUUGCGCUCGAACUUACUCCAUUUAGGCAUCAAAUAUCAUCUCCUGAUGACGCCACAUGUAUCAGUAAAACACCGUCGUCCCCAUGGAUAGUUGUUGAACGUGUCAAUAGCAUCAACAAUCUCCAAAUGAAAGACGUCGAUCGACGUCUUCUUGUGAUGACACCUCAGUACGUCCUCCAAUAUGAACAUCAUCCCCAACUUCAACCUGUCAGAUAUAUCGUCACAUUCCCUGAAUGCGUCUCCUAACUGUGCUAGAGUCACUGUCGACUGCCCAUUGAAGCACUCAUUCGGUAGCCUCCUGUCACUCGGAACUCGAGCCCUCCCUGCUUCCUCACCCGUACAUUUCAAUCCAGUGAUGAGGGUAAACUCAAAUAUAGAAAAUGUAGCGACAUUGCCCCCAAGAUCAAAAUGGAUAACAACUCCGUCAACUGGCUGAAGUAGUCGACAUGGUAAUGCAUCGAGCAGCUGGCCAGAGAAAAUUGUACGUCACGCAAUGCAUACAACAGUCAUAAGCAGGAUCUACGUAGCAUGUCCGCGUGCUCUUCAUCCAACAGAUAUAAGACUACUGUAAAGCUGACAAAGUUACGGUUCGAUAUAACUUUGUAGGGAAUCUAUCUCAUGGCAACAUCCAAAUGAUAAUCCAUAUCUGCAAAAUUGAAAAUUUUAGAACUUUGUAUAGGAGACAAUGGAUAAAGCACAAUAUUUGAAAAUUAAACUAACCAAACUGUAACUAAUACACACAAGAAUGAACGGAUAAUGGAAUAAAGGAAAUAUUAU
rnacentral:lncRNA from 1 species